GAUGAACGCUGGCGGCGUGCCUAAUACAUGCAAGUCGAGCGAACAGACGAGGAGCUUGCUCCUUUGACGUUAGCGGCGGACGGGUGAGUAACACGUGGAUAACCUACCUAUAAGACUGGGAUAACUUCGGGAAACCGGAGCUAAUACCGGAUAACAUGUUGAACCGCAUGGUUCAACAGUGAAAGACGGUCUUGCUGUCACUUAUAGAUGGAUCCGCGCCGCAUUAGCUAGUUGGUAAGGUAACGGCUUACCAAGGCAACGAUGCGUAGCCGACCUGAGAGGGUGAUCGGCCACACUGGAACUGAGACACGGUCCAGACUCCUACGGGAGGCAGCAGUAGGGAAUCUUCCGCAAAGGGCGAAAGCCUGACGGAGCAACGCCGCGUGAGUGAAGAAGGUCUUCGGAUCGUAAAACUCUGUUAUUAGGGAAGAACAAAUGUGCAAGUAACUAUGCACGUCUUGACGGUACCUAAUCAGAAAGCCACGGCUAACUACGUG
rnacentral:rRNA from 1 species